rnacentral:lncRNA from 1 species
CCCAAAGGACUCUAUUCCGAAUCUUCAGGGGAGUUCAGAAAUCUAUCCCAUCAAAAUCCAGCAGAGGGAAGAAGCUUCAAAAUCUUAAACCCACAUGCCUUCCCUAGCCUUGCCCUGAGCCUAGGGGCUUUCACAGGAAUUACAGGCCCCAUUGCCUCUCUUGCAGGGAGGGAGUCAUUUCAACAGGACUUUCCUUUUAGGAAAUUCAGAUCAGACAUUCCUAUCAAUAGAUUUAAAUUCUAACUAUUGCCCCUUUUAAAUGAGGCAAUUUUUUUUUUCUUUUUUUGGUGAGGAAGACUGGCCCUGAUCUAACAUCUGUGCCAAUCUUCCUCUAUUUUACAUGUGGGACACCUGUCACAGCGUGGCUUGAUGAGCGGUGUGUAGGUAUGUGCCUGGGAUCCAAACCCUCAAACCCCGGGCCACUGGAACAGAGAGCACCAACUUUAACCGCUACGCUACCAGGCCGGCCCAACAGGCAAUUUCUUAAUCUAUUAAAGUUCUAAGCAAUUGACUUUUUCCCCCUAAAGAGAGCAUGAUGACACAAUGGCAGCGACCCCUCUUCCUCCUGCUUUGGCCCCAGUUGUGCCCACAUCACAGAGCCCUGCCUGUCCACGCUCUGGGCUCAGUGCACCCACAGCUUUUCGGAAGAUCCUCACUUCCCCAAGCAUGCGUCUGCUCCUUCUCCUGGCUCCAAAGCAGGGGAUUGUCCUGACCCUGCCACAGCCGGCCGCUAGGAACACUUGGGGGUUAGGAGCUUCCUUUGUUCCUACGCAGGAGACAGAGCCUGUUGACUAGCCCUGAACCAGCCCCCGAGGCCCGAGGAACGUCUGGAGCUGGUCAUCUGAGGCCAUCCCUUGUGUGAUCACUCGCUACAGCAAGGGCAGUCGGGUUACCCUGCUUGGUUGAGACAUGAAAGCAAUCAGGGCCCACCCCUGGAGCCGGAGGUGCACGGAGCCCCUCCAGCCAACCUAGCUGCCACUUCAGGUGGAAAGGAAGAAUGUGGAUGGAGGGGAACCAAACGCACGUCUGUCUCGUUACAACGUGUUGGUCUUUGGUGAGUUUGCCCUCGGAGGAUUGCUUCCCGCUUGGCCUGCUCUGCUCUGUAUU